CCCAGGUCCCGCCACCAGGUGGGAGCCCUCGCUCAGAUUUGCAUCAACAACCCACAGCACCCCUCAGUCUGGCAGGGCUCUCAUGGACUGUGGGUUGCAGGAGGGAUGAGGUAAGCACAGGAUCCGAAUCGCAGCACUGAGCAGGUGAAGUCCCCUGACCCCCUGAGCUGGCUGCACAUUCCAGGUGGGGACGUGCCCCACCCUGUCUUGGUUCAUUCUCCCUGGGCAGCUCUUGCCCUGCUUUGACUCCUUCCCUGGGCUCUUUUCAGAGUCCCUCCAGUCCCCUUUAAAUGAACCCAGCACCUCAUUUGGAAUGGUAAAGUCCUCUGGCCCUCUGCGUCUCAUUUGCUGGGAGCUGCAUCCCAGUGUUGCCUCCUCUCGGCCAUCUUGGCACCGCCUAUCAAGCUCAAAAAUAAUUCUUACAAGUAAACUCUCUUUAUAAUCAGCAUCCAAUACACUAAAGAAUAAUGAAAAUAUUAAUGUGCUGAUUAAUGAUGGAUUCUAAUCAAUCCUGGACAAUAAAACUAGGCAUGGAAUAUAAAAUGCAAUGAACAUCCAAAGUACAUGAUGAUUGGUCUGUGUGAGAUCCUGUCCACAGAUUAUAUAUUUAUUGUUGAUUAUUACAUUUCCUGGAAUGUGUAUGUCAGUCUAUUAAAAAAUCUGUCAGGAAAAUACAUUAUUUCAGAGACUGUAUGAUGUUAAUGACAACCUUAGAAUAAUAAGACCAAUACCAGUGACUUCUGUAUGUAUUCUCACAACAACCAAUCACUUCCUAUUCCUAUGAUAUGUGGUUCCAAAGAUGAGAAUUUGAUGCUUUCACCUGACAGGAGCUGUUUCCUACAUCAGAUCUUAAGACACAACAAAAAUCAAUCUGACCACAGGAUAUCUACUGUUAGACAACUUAUUUCUCUUUAUUCUAGAUUGGAAGUGUCCAUGAAAAUAGAAGCUGCUUCCCAGAGGCGAUAUUAAGACCAUUCACAUAAUUUUUUCUCAUCCUUCAAAGAAUUAACAUGUGCCAGGUUGAACUUUAGUCACAAGCCCCAGUAUUUUAAGAAAUAUCAUCAUUUACUACUUGGAGAGAUGAAUGAGGUUACGUAGUCAUAACAGAGUGUGCCAAGAAUGCCAUAGGUUCUCAGGAAACAUGGCUUAAUGGCAGUGAUGAUGGCACUCAGAGAUGCUAACAUCCUCAUCAUUUUAGACUAAGUAGGUUCAUUUAUCAGCCAGUCUUAAGAGACCGCUCAAAUAUGACUGAGGAUCUCAUACAGAUGCCUAAUUAAGUCUAUUAACAUAACGAAGCCAUGAAAUGUUAUGAAUUAAAAGUGCUCUAAACACUGAAAUCAUCCUAACAAAAAUAAACAAAAUAACCUGU